UCGAGAAUCUUCGGCAAUGAGCGCAAGCUUGACCGAGCGACGCCGCGUGCGGGAUGAAGGCCCUCGGGUUGUAAACCGCUGUCGUAGGGGAGGAAGUCGUGGGGGGUACUCCCCCCAUGUUGACCUAUCCUAGGAGGAAGGACGGGCUAAGUUCGUGCCAGCAGCCGCGGUAAUACGAACCGUCCAAACGUUAUUCGGAAUUACUGGGCUUAAAGGGUUCGUAGGCGGCCAUGUAAGUGGGGUGUGAAAUCCCUCGGCUCAACCGAGGAAUGGCGCUCCAAACUACACGGCUUGAGGGAGACAGGGGUAAGCGGAACUGAUGGUGGAGCGGUGAAAUGCGUUGAUAUCAUCAGGAACACCGGUGGCGAAAGCGGCUUACUGGGUCUCUUCUGACGCUGAGGAACGAAAGCUAGGGUAGCGAACGG
rnacentral:rRNA from 1 species